rnacentral:rRNA from 1 species
GAUGAACGCUGGCGGCGUGCCUAAUACAUGCAAGUCGAGCGAACAGACGAGGAGCUUGCUCCUCUGACGUUAGCGGCGGACGGGUGAGUAACACGUGGAUAACCUACCUAUAAGACUGGGAUAACUUCGGGAAACCGGAGCUAAUACCGGAUAAUAUAUUGAACCGCAUGGUUCAAUAGUGAAAGACGGUUUUGCUGUCACUUAUAGAUGGAUCCGCGCCGCAUUAGCUAGUUGGUAAGUUAACGGCUCACCAAGGCAACGAUGCGUAGCCGACCUGAGAGGGUGAUCGGCCACACUGGAACUGAGACACGGUCCAGACUCCUACGGGAGGCAGCAGUAGGGAAUCUUCCGCAAUGGGCGAAAGCCUGACGGAGCAACGCCGCGUGAGUGAUGAAGGUCUUCGGAUCGUAAAACUCUGUUAUUAGGGAAGAACAAAUGUGUAAGUAACUAUGCACGUCUUGACGGUACCUAAUCAGAAAGCCACGGCUAACUACGUG